rnacentral:rRNA from 1 species
GGCAGCAGUAGGGAAUCUUCCGCAAUGGACGAAAGUCUGACGGAGCAACGCCGCGUGAGUGAUGAAGGCCUUCGGGUCGUAAAACUCUGUUGUUAGGGAAGAACAAGUAUCGGAGUAACUGCCGGUACCUUGACGGUACCUAACCAGAAAGCCACGGCUAACUAAGUGCCAGCAGCCG